GUCUGCCCUCACAGGCUCUGCGACUGUGGGCGAGUUCCUCCACUUCUCUGGGCCUUACUUUGCUUCCCCGUAAAUGAGGAGCGUAUUCUGCAAUGCUUGCUGUAAGGAUUAAACGCACGGAGCACAGCCCCUGCCACGUCGUUCCUGUAUUACUGGCAGAGGGCAGCUUGGCAGCCAGGCUGGAACCUGCAGAGGCAGAAGCCUUGGAGAGCAUGGGCCUUGUGCUCGGCCCGAGGAUCAGCCGAGGUGAGCUCAGGCCCUUCUGGACUAUUCGGCAAUGUUAGAAAACUGAUUCCGGAGUCCCCCAUGUGACAGGAAGCUGCCUCUCUGAAUAAGUCUGUGCUCAGCGUGCAGCUGUGUGGAUGCUCAGGGCGUGGGGAGAGAAGAAACCUCUGCCACACAGUCCAGCAAAAAGUGAAAAGGUCAAGAAAAAAAGUCCUUGCAAGAGAUUUUAAAACUAGUAUUUCAUGCACAAUGAUGAUAUAUGCCGCUCUCUGGACUGGGUCUGUACAAAUCCCUGGAACUUUCUUGAUAAAAUCCUUUUGGUAUAGCAGUCUGUCAUUUGUUCAACAAUAUUUGCUAUGUGCCUAAUUGAUGCUGGGCACUUGCUGGGUGCUAGGUAGAACAGCGAACAGGACAGACCUCAUCCUUGCCCUCAGGGAGUUCACAUUCUAGAAGGCAGACAGGCAUUAAACACGUACUUGAAAGAACCAUUAUGUGAAUUAUAAUAGAGAUUAGCAUAAUGAAGGAAAAGGCAAAGAAUGGAGGAAUCUGAUCUAAUGGGGGGAGGGUGGUGGGCAGGGAGAGAAGGCCUUUUGGGAGAGAGCGAUACUUCAGCUGAGGCUUGAAGUUUGUAGGGAAAUUGGUGGGGCAAAGCAGGGUAGAAUGGAUUCAUCACUCAUUAAUUUAUUCAACAAUUAUUUUUUGAAUCUCUCCUAUUGCUAGGCACUGUUCUAGAAUGUUAGGAAACACUAGUGAGCAAAUCAGACAAAAAUUGCUCUGCUCAUAGAGUUAAACUCCCAGUUAUUCUGAUGAUCUAUUGCUAUGUAACCAAACACCUAAAAAUGUAGUGUCUUAACACAACCAUUUAACCUUGCUCACAGUUUUGUGGGUCAGGAAAUCAGAAAGGGCUUUGCCAGCUGGUUCAUCUGCACAUAACAUCGUCAGGGCUUCUUCACUCACAUGACUGGAUCCUGUCCUAGGAUGGAGGGCAGCUGAUGCUGGAUGAUGGCAGAAGCUCAGCUGAGGCUGUCAACUGGCCUGCCCAUAAGGCUGGGGCUUUACCAAGUGAGCAUUCCAAGAGGGCUGGGAAGAAGCUUCAAGGCUUCUUUUUUUAGUAUGUAUUGAUUUAUGCUUCAAGUCUUCUUAUGAUCCAGCCUCAGAAAGCCCCAAAUGUCACUUUUGUCACCAUCUAUUGGUCAAACAAAUCACUAAGGCCAAUCCAAAUUCAAGACAAGGGGAAUUAGAUUUCACUGUCAAUAGGAGGAGGAACAUAGAAUUUGAGGCCAUUGUUAGCCUAUCACAGAGGCAGAGGAAUUAAUAUGUGAUAUUAAAAAGGUCUCCAUCAUCAGUCAAAUGUGAAUAGGGACUGACUCUCUGAGUUCAAAACCAGGUGCAAAUUGUGGAAGAGUUUGAAACUCCUAAAUUUAUAUUUGUCUAAUUCACUUUGGCCACAGUGAGCCAGUGAACAUCAGUUGGGCACUUCUGAUAUAUGCCUACAUAGCAGGGGUCAGCAGACUGGCCUAUAGACCAAAUGUGGCCCCCUGCUUAUUUUUGUAAGUAAAGUUUUAUUGAAACACAACUAUGCCCAUUUAUUUUUUUCUCUAGCUGCUUUCGUACCUGCACUGGCAGAGUUGAAUAUUUCUACAGAGACUUUCUGGCCCACAAAGCCUAAAUUAUUCACUAUCUGGCUCUUCACAGAAAAAGUUUGCUCAUCCCUGCUAUAUGGUUUCUGUUAAUUAAACACUUACGAUGUGCCAAUUACUGGGCUAGGGCUUUGUAUGCAAUAAGUCUUGAUCCUCAUGGCAGCCCUCUGACAAAGGUAUUACCCCUAUUUUAUAGAUGGAAUAUAGAAGUUUAAUAAGGUUAAAUAACAUAUCCAAGAUGACAAUAAGUUAUGGGAUUGAGAUUUGAAUCCAAGUUGUUUGAUGUUAAAGAUCUGGCUCUUUAAGACUUUCUCAGUGGAUUUUCAGGAUCCCAGCCAUGUAAACUCACAAUUGCAAUGAGUGACAAGUGCUGAAGACAGGGUGUCAAUCAUGGAGGUAGGUCCUUUCAGGCCAGGAUGAGGUGUUCAGAAUUUAGUCAGGAAGCAGCAGGAGGCAGUGAGGGGUUUUGGAUAGGGAAGGACAACGGCAGGGCAGAUUGGUCUUGAUACUCAGGGACUGCUCACGGCUCAGGACCCUCGGCUGCUUGUCUGAGACCUGAAUCUGUCCCCUAGAGAGCUCGUAUUGGGCCCUCCAUGUUGGUAUUGCUUCCACAAGGUGGACACUAGAGGCAAAGUUAGGAAGGUUGUAACUGGAAUGCCAAGAUGGAGGUGGAUGAGAGAAACUUGAGGCGAGUUGUGGUAGCCAGAAUAGUGACCUCCUGAAGAUAUCCACCACCUAAUCUCUGGAGUCUGUGAGUGUGUUAGGUUACAUGGCAAAGGGGUCUUAAGGUUGCAGAUGGAAUGAAGGCUGCUAAUCAGCUGAUGUUAAAAUAGGGAGAUAAAAUCUUGGAUUAUCUAGGUGGGCCCAAUGUAAUCGCAAGGGUCCUUCAGAAUGGAAGAGGGAGGCAGAAGAGGAGUCAGAGUCAAAGAGAGAUUUGAAGAUGCUACACAGCUGGCUUUCAUUAUGGAGGAAGGGGCCACGAGCUAGGGAAUGCAGGAGGCCUCUAGAAGCUGGACAAGUCAAGGUAAAAGAAUCUCCCCUGGAGUCUCCAGAAGGAAUGCAGCUCUGCUGAUGCCUUGAUUUUAGCCCAGUAAGACCCAUUUUGAACUUCUGACCUCCAGAACUGCCAGAUAAUAAAUUUGUGUUGUUUUAAGUCA
rnacentral:lncRNA from 1 species